rnacentral:rRNA from 1 species
AUAUAGGUAACGUGCCCUAGAGAGGGGGAUAACAUUUGGAAACGAAUGCUAAUACCCCAUAUGCCUUUAUCCCAUAAGGGAGCAAGGGAAAUAUUUAUAGCUCUAGGAUCGGCCUGUACGGUAUCAGUUUUUGGUGAGGUAAUGGCUCACCAAGACUAUGACGCCUAACUGGUUUGAGAGGAUGAUCAGUCACACUGGAACUGAGACACGGUCCAGACUCCUACGGGAGGCAGCAGUGGGGAAUAUUGCACAAUGGAGGAAACUCUGAUGCAGCAACGCCGCGUGGAGGAUGACACAUUUCGGUGCGUAAACUCCUUUUAUAUAGGAAGAUAAUGACGGUACUAUAUGAAUAAGCACCGGCUAACUCCGUGCCAGCAGCCGCGGUAAUACGGAGGGUGCAAGCGUUACUCGGAAUCACUGGGCGUAAAGAGCGUGUAGGCGGAUUAGUAAAGUUUGAAGGUGAAAUCCUGUGGCUCAACCAUAGAACUGCUUUGAAAACUGAUUAUCUAGAAUAUGGGAGAGGUAGAUGGAAAUUUCUGGUGUAGGGGUAAAAUCCGUAGAGAUCAGAAGGAAUACCGAUUGCGAAGGCGAUCUACUGGAACAUUAUUGACGCUGAGACGCGAAAGCGUGGGGAGCAAACAGGAUUAGAUACCCUGGUAGUCCACGCCCUAAAACGAUGUACACUAGUUGUUGUGAGGCUAGACCUUGCAGUAAUGCAGUUAACACAUUAAGUGUACCGCCUGGGGAGUACGGUCGC